AAGAGAUAAGUGCUGAAAGCAUCUAAGCACGAAACUUGCCCCGAGAUGAGUUCUCCCUGAGACUUUAGGUCUCCUGAAGGAACGUUGAAGACGACGACGUUGAUAGGCCGGGUGUGUAAGCGCAGCGAUGCGUUGAGCUAACCGGUACUAAUGAACCGUGAGGCUUAACCUUACAACGCCGAAG
rnacentral:rRNA from 1 species